CGUAGGGUGCGAGCGUUAAUCGGAAUUACUGGGCGUAAAGCGUGCGCAGGCGGUUUGUUAAGAUAGGCGUGAAAUCCCCGGGCGUCAACCUGGGAACUGCGCUUAUGACUGGCAAGCUAGAGUACGGCAGAGGGGGUGAAUUCCACGUGUAGCAGUGAAAUGCGUAGAGAUGUGGAGGAACACCAAUGGCGAAGGCAGCCCCCUGGGUCGAUACUGACGCUCAUGCACGAAAGCGUGGGUAGCAAACAGGAUUAGAUACCCUGGUAGUCCACGCCCUAAACGAUGUCAACUAGGUGUUGGAUGGGUAAAACCAUUUAGUACCGGAGCUAACGCGUGAAGUUGACCGCCUGGGGAGUACGGCCGCAAGGUUA
rnacentral:rRNA from 1 species